GGGGGCGACACGGCUUCGACGUGGGCGCUGAAGCAAAGGGAGCAUACCGGGGCGCACAAGGACCUCGAUAAAAAGGUGCAAACUUUUAAUUGCUGACGUAAACGUAGCAAUGGCAGCUUAGUUCUGCCACGGUCUCUAGCUGAAUCGACGGUGUUGAGCUAAUAGACUGUCAUUAAUGCCGUACCGGUUGCGUGUUGUUUUCUCCAGGGCACCAACCUAAAUAAACUGGAGGAGUGACCUUUGGAAUUUUGUCUUUGGAAGUCUGAUGGUCAAACUAAAAACAAAGACUAAGUAUGUAGCGCCUUUUCGUGGAUCACUUGCGGACGGGGGUUCAAUUCCCCCCGCCUCCACCA
rnacentral:tmRNA from 1 species